CCAGACGGCCGGGCGGUCGCGGCAGGCUUGUCCUGUCGAGGAAAGUCCGGGCUCCACGGUGAAAAGGCGGCGGGUAACUCCCGCCCGGGGUGACCCGAGAGACAGUGCCACAGAAAGCAAACCGCCAGUCCUUUGGGAUCGGUAAGGGUGAAAGGGUGGGGUAAGAGCCCACCGCAUUGGCGGCAACGUCAAUGGCAAGGUAAACCUCGCCUGGAGCAAGACCGAAUAGGGACGUCGCGCAACCUCGGUUGCAGGGCUCACCGCCUGUGAACGUUCGGGUAGGUCGCGAGAACCAUUCAGCAAUGGGUGGUCCAGAGGAAUGAUCGUCGCUGCUUUUCGAAGCAGAACAGAACCCGGCUUACAGGCCGUCUGGUAAU
rnacentral:RNase_P_RNA from 1 species